UUCCCUGCGAAUCUCCUUUAUUUUAUUUUUUUUGUUCUUUCGCUGAUCGACCAUUGGUCAUUAUUCGUUUUUAAUGAUCUAAAGUAUUUAAAGAGCCCCUUAAUCGAUGGAAACUACGAUCAAAAUUCCUUUUUGUCUCUUCGCUAACUUUGAUUUGUGGUACCAUCAGUAAUAUCUGAAACUCUAAUCAUUAAGGAACACAAACCUAGGUUUUCUUUUCUACAAAACAAAUCAUCAUUAACGAUGAUACACUUAUUCUAUUCUCUUCUUCUCUAUUUGUUUGCCUUCUCCAUCUCUUUGUUCAUUAUCUGUUUUGAUUGUUCGUUAUUGGUUUUGUUCUUAAUGUUUUUAUUUGUUUUUAUUUCGAUGGAAUGAAUUUUUACUAUUGGUAAACCCUAACCUUUUUCUUUCUGUCUCUUCGUUUCUCUGAAUCAUUAAACCCUAACCCGUGUAUUGUUUUGCAGGUACAAUCAAUAAACCCUAACCUAUGUUUUAUUUUGCAGGUACAAAAGAGCAAUAUCACACUCUGUUAAUCGGCAUGGAGUUUUUGUAGGCGUGGAGUUUUUCAAUUACGAACUAAUUCUGUUGCAUUAAGCUGAUUAUAUAUUUUUCGGGGUUAUUCUGGUUGUUUGGUGUGUACCCGUUGCCAUUGGCUAUCUCAGCUAAUCGCUUUUGAAAAUGUCAAAAAGGGCACAUCUUGGUGUGGCCAAGUUGUCUACAUACUUGAUUGAGGUGCAUUUCUCGGAAGAUGAGCAAGCAGAAGUAUUACCAACAACGGGCACAAUAUGAAGGUAAAGUGAUCGAGAUGAAUGAUGCUUCUUCAAUCAUAACUACGUGGAGUAUCACGACAACAAUCGAUGUGAUGACAAUAAUGCUACUUAUCUUCAUCCUUGACAAUCGUAGCAACACCAAAGAUGGACCUAGAGUUUGGCAUAUGCAGAUUCAAUAUGUAUGUUGAAAAUAUGUAUCGAUCAGACUACCACGAUUUUAAGGAAAUUAAAAUAUGUUGUGACUUUGGAGGUGAGCAAUGUUAAGUUAGAAGAUAUUAAAUGAGAUGUCGAGACUAUGAUUCUGCUGCAAGUGACACCAUAGGCAGAAUUAACUAUUUUGAAGGUCCAAUAGAGACCAUCUCUAUCCCAUACCCAUGAUCACUUGAUACCAUAUUCUGCUUCUCGGUACAUUUCCUCCAACACCACUUGCUAAGUAAAGGCAUCGGGGUUCUACUACAAAAGCAAUUAUAUAUUUGAAGUUAAAUUUAGGUAUCUUGAGAUAGUCGGAGCAUAAAGCUGUAGGUUGGUGCCAUCCUCAGAGUUUUGGUUCUUUUGCUCCACUUAGGAGUUCUUUUGCUCCAUAAGCAGCAUUUCAUGGAUACUCAGCCACAGCCAUGGAGGAAGCGGAAUCAGAGGUAUUCAUUCCUGGCUGGUGGAUGUGCCCCAUAAAACGCGAUCCAUGACCGCAAGAAAAUUCUGACAAUGAAGUAUAUGCCCAGUACAUAAAAAUGCUUAAUGUAAUUUUCUAAAUUGAUACUGUAAUUGCAAGAGGGGAGAAAUGUGGAAAUUUGGCAGUUUGUGGUUUCUUUCUCACAUUUCCAGCUGCAU